CGCUAUCACUCCUACGGGAGGCAGCAGUGGGGAAUAUUGCACAAUGGGCGCAAGCCUGAUGCAGCCAUGCCGCGUGUAUGAAGAAGGCCUUCGGGUUGUAAAGUACUUUCAGCAGUGAGGAAGGUGGUGCCAGUUAAUAGCUGUAUCAUUUGACGUUACCUACAGAAGAAGCACCGGCUAACUCCGUGCCAGCAGCCGCGGUAAUACGGAGGGUGCGAGCGUUAAUCGGAAUUACUGGGCGUAAAGCGCAUGCAGGCGGCCUGUUAAGUCAGAUGUGAAAGCCCGGGGCUUAACCUCGGAAUUGCAUUUGAAACUGGCAGGCUAGAGUCUUGUAGAGGGGGUAGAAUUUCAGGUGUAGCGGUGAAAUGCGUAGAGAUCUGAAGGAAUACCAGUGGCGAAGGCGGCCCCCUGGACAGAUACUGACACUCAGAUGCGAAAGCGUGGGGAGCAAACAGGAUUAGAUAACCCUGGUAG
rnacentral:rRNA from 1 species